UGGGGAAUAUUGCACAAUGGGGGAAACCCUGAUGCAGCGACGCCGCGUGAGCGAAGAAGGCUUUCGAGUCGUAAAGCUCUGUCCUAUGAGAAGAUAAUGACGGUAUCAUAGGAGGAAGCCCCGGCUAAAUACGUGCCAGCAGCCGCGGUAAUACGUAUGGGGCGAGCGUUGUCCGGAAUUAUCGGGCGUAAAGGGUACGUAGGCGGUCUAUUAAGUCAGGUGUGAAAGCGUGAGGCUUAACCUCAUUAAGCACUUGAAACUGAUAGACUUGAGUGAAGGAGAGGAAAGUGGAAUUCCUAGUGUAGCGGUGAAAUGCGUAGAUAUUAGGAGGAAUACCGGUGGCGAAGGCGACUUUCUGGACUUUUACUGACGCUCAGGUACGAAAGCGUGGGGAGCAAACAGG
rnacentral:rRNA from 1 species